rnacentral:rRNA from 1 species
CCUACGGGGGGCAGCAGUGGGGAAUAUUGGGCAAUGGGCGCAAGCCUGACCCAGCAACGCCGCGUGAAGGAAGAAGGCCCUCGGGUUGUAAACUUCUUUUAUCAGGGACGAAGCAAGUGACGGUACCUGAUGAAUAAGCCACGGCUAACUACGUGCCAGCAGCCGCGGUAAUACGUAGGUGGCAAGCGUUAUCCGGAUUUACUGGGUAUAAAGGGCGUGUAGGCGGGAAAGCAAGUCAGAUGUGAAAACCAUGGGCUCAACCUGUGGCCUGCAUUUGAAACUGUUUUUCGUGAGUACUGGAGAGGCAGACGGAAUUCCUAGUGUAGCGGUGAAAUGCAUAGAUAUUAGGAGGAACACCAGUGGCGAAGGCGGUCUGCUGGACAGCAACUGACGCUGAGGCGCGAAAGCGUGGGGAGCAAACAGGAUUAGAUACCCCUGUAGUC